AGGAGCUCCGCUGAGGACUUUCAGGAUCUCUUGCUUGGUUGCUCCUGCCCAGCCCCCACGAUGCCUUCCAGGCCUGGCUUCCAAAGGGCUGAGUGAGGCCAGGACUUGGUGCCGAUGUCGGAUCAGUCUCCACAUCCUUCCAUGUGAGAGUUAAAGUGACUGUGUGCUGCACCAUGGUGCUGAUGUCCAGUGAUUCAUCAUCCACUAAAAGUGGACUUUCAGGGGACAAACUUGGGUUCCUGCUUCUGAUCUCCUACUCAUCUCUUCAUACGCUGCUGUCGUCUCUGGGGCUGCCUGCCUGGAUUUGAGCUGCUGUGAUCACCUCCUGCUGCCAUAAAUUAUGUCCUGAUUUCCUGAUUCAUCGCUUUUGCUGCAGGCUUUCAUUGCAGGGACAACACCAUUGUUUGUGAGCAACUUUUAGUUGGAACUUUGCUAUAUGGACACUAUCUGGGGUGUGUCCUGAGAUUGUAAGUGUGCAGGUGAGGACCCAUCUUCUGUGACACUCGCCCACAUUUGCCGGAUUUCAGCCUGGUACUCAGUGAGGGACCAAAGCCCUGUGGCUGACCAGGAACAUCCCAAGGCUCCGCAACUUGUGCCGACCACUGGAAGUACACUGCAACUGUUGGACACAUAGCAGGAUUUUUUAGUCUCUAAUUUAGGGUUAUUUAUGAGUUAGACUUGGGUUCAGCCCUCAGUUUAGGAGGCUCUACUUCUUCUGCUUCUCUUUCUCCUCCUCUUCCUUCUGUUUUGUUCUAGGUUUUGGUUUUGUGGAUCUGAUAAGGUCUGGUGUAUCCAAGUUCAUUUUUGUUUUUAAUAUUCUGUAGGUAUUCAUUUGUGCCUGGUUUUACAGACUCUAAUUUAGGAUUUUUACUUCUGGAGGGUUUUGGGUGUGUGUGUGUGUGUGUGUGUAUUUUCUAUAGUUUCCUUUUUGAUUCCAGGGUUGUUGAGCUUUUACUUUAAUUGAGAGUCUGCAAGAACAAAUUCUGGCUGCCUUCCAUAAAUUAGAUUUAGAAUAGGCAGAGGGCCAUUGGAUGACACAAAGCAAAGGGGAUCAACCUUCCCCUCACCCUGAUAGUUGUAGCAAGGAGGCACAGAGAGAGGGUGACCAAUAUUUACUGGUGAUCUUGAAUCCAUCAGGGGAGAAUCCCUUCUGAGAGGGCAGCAUCCCUUCUGGGAAGGCUGUAUCGGCCUUGCCUUCUCUCUCCCCCUGAAUAGGACUGGAAUGAUUUCUCCUUCUUGUACCAACCAGGGCACCUAAUUUGACCACAGGAGCAACCCUGGGGUAGGACAGUUCCCUUUUCACCAAUUUCCUAUAGGUGGAUUGAACAAAUAGGGCCAGCCUGCUGGAUAUUAUUGUUCAUACAGUUUCUUUUCCACCAGGAAGCUACCUAAUUAGAAAAAUUCUGUGUCUUUGUACUGGCAGGAUCUUGGCUCUUUUU